rnacentral:rRNA from 1 species
GACGAACGCUGGCGGUGUGCUUAACACAUGCAAGUCGAACGGUAAGGCCCUUUCGGGGGUACACGAGUGGCGAACGGGUGAGUAACACGUGAGUAACCUGCCCUCAUCUCUGGGAUAACAGUCGGAAACGGUUGCUAAUACUGGAUAUGAGCUUGCAAGGCAUCUUGUGGGUUGGAAAGAUUUUUUUUGGUUGGGGAUGGACUCGCGGCCUAUCAGCUUGUUUGUGAGGUAGUGGCUCACCAAGGCUUCGACGGGUAGCCGGCCUGAGAGGGCGACCGGCCACAUUGGGACUGAGACACGGUCCAAAGUCGUACGGGAGGCAGCAAUGGGGAAUAUUGCACAAUGGACGGAAGUCUGAUGCAGCAACGCCGCGUGCGGGAUGACGGCCUUCGGGUUGUAAACCGCUGUCAAUUGUGACGAAGCUUUUUUGUGACGGUAGCAGUAGAAGAAGCACCGGCUAACUACGUG